UCCCCGGGGUGGUUGAUCCUCGACUGGCCCGGGAGGCGCCUGGGUCCGCGCGGGACCUCUCUGCCUCCUCCUCCGACCCGUGCGGGGCGGUCGGGGGCGCUCCCGAGGGGGUCCCGGGAAAGGCGGGGUCUGGCAGGGGGUCCUGGGCGCUGGGUCGUUCAGAAGCACGGCUUUACUCCAGUUACCCUCUUUUUAUCCAAGGCCGGGGUUCCCCGGGUGCCUGGUAGCAGUGAAACCCCAAGUCCCUCGGUUAGGGGAGCCGUGACCCUGGGAGCUUUUGAGCUCUCUGGUAUAACAUCCUUUUACAUCCUAAGAGACACAGUUCUGUGCUUGCUUAGGACUUUUUUCGUAUGCGCCCUUUCUUCCCCCAAAAAACAAAAAACCGAAAAAACUUGUAUGUCUCUCCCGCCCACCCGUACUUUCACUAUUCAUUUACCUCAUAGAAGUUGGUCAAAUUUUCCAUUCGAAGACGAGUUUUAUGCUGCGGUAGCUUCAAGCAAUAAGUCGAACACUGUGUUGAAAUUAAGUCUUGGAUCCGACUACUUCCAGCGAAGUGAGGAGUUGGUCCAAUAGAAAUUAUUUUCCAAAAUGUGUUGUAAUUCUCCUGUUGCUCCACAAAUAAGGGGUUAUCAGAGAGGAAAACGUUGACUGACUUCGCAUUUCUGAAAGCUGGUUUGUAGUCGCCUUAUUUCAUCCUUACCCUUCUCUGGAAAUGUGACAUUAGUUCUGUUUGUGCUUAAGACAAAGGAAACAGCUGGCACCUUUCGGGAAGGUGGCUCCAGUACAGUUGUUUCCAGGUGUUAAGCUGUAUGAGAAAGUAGAAAAGUAAUCAGAAAUCCUUACUAGUUUUCAUUUAAUCAUUUAAUUAUUAAUUUUAACCAUCAUUAUUUGUCGUCUACUUGUUUUGUGUAAAAUGAGUAAUACACUCAAAGUUCUUGUUAAUAGGAAAUUAUUGUUUGAUAAAGCUGGCUUUAUGGCUUGGUUAUUUUGAUACCUGCUAUGAAAUUCUAUGUCCAGAAGAGUGCAGCAUAUCCAAGCAGGGUAAUAAGUUCAGAAGGACUGAAAAAGAAAACAAAGAUGAUUUUUCUUUAAUGAUGGAAAGGCAAUUUUUAUUUCAAACGAUUAUGCAUUUGUAGGUUGUGCAUAGGCUGAAAGGUUUGAAUCACUGUGAAAUAAUGUUUCUAACAACAUCCUUAAAACUGAGUUACCUCUUGAAUGGAUAGAUAAAUAGGAACUGGGUUAACUACCCCAAACGCUAAUCUCUUUAUGAUCAUCCUUUUUUGGAAUGAUUUAUUAUUUUAAAAAUUAUGUUGUAAGAAUGGAAUUAUAGCCCCGGAAAUAUUUAGAAGCUUUAUUUCAAAUUAAUGUUAUUAAGUAUUCCAGCAAAACAAUAAAUUCCACUUUUAAGUAUAUGUUAAAAUGGUGAUAAAUAAAAGUUAUAACUUAAUUCUAUUUCUGACACUUUAAUUUUGAUACCAAAUCAGUUUGGGCAUUUAACUUCUGUAGUGGAAAUAUUAAAAAUUUAGUACGUGGGUUUAAGGAUUUUUUCCCCUAAAAACUUUAAAUUUAUCUAUGUUGUUUCUACAUCUUUUAAAGUAACUAUUCUUUUUAAGUUCAUCAUGAAGCUUAUUUUAAGAUUUUUUUCUUAUUUUCCGUAUUUCUUAAAUGACAGGGUUAUACUUGCAGCCUGGCUUUGAUAAUAUGUUAAACAAGAAGUUAACAUGGGUGGUUGAUUAUAGGUACAUAUUAAAGGGUGUCUGUGUACAUUAGGUGGGAUAAGAACUAUAUAGGAACACCAAUAUUUGGGCCAGAGCAAAUUUGAAAAAUUCACAAAGAAGGUAUCUGAAGAGGCAUAGCAAUCGAAUUAUGCAUCCUCUUUAAAAUAAUCACAUGAAGCCCUGUGUGCUCAUGGUAAGGGAGGAGUAGAAAAUAGUCAACAAGUAAAAUUGUGCAUUUUGUAGAAGCAAAAUCGGACACUUUCCUCUGAUUUCAGUACUACAAAGCACUUGACAUUCUACCAUUGAAAAAAGUACUUUGUACCCUGAGAUAAAAAUAAAGGUGAUUGGUUCUUGUCUUUUAAGUAAUGAAACCUUGACUUUGUCCCCUAAGUCAAGACUCCCUAGCCACAUCUACCUGAAGGUAAUGUCACCAUCUUUAUGAAUGCAAUGAUAGUGCUGAAAUUGCUGUUUCUCAUUAUGGAUGGUCUAAUGUAAACCUAAGAACCUUAGUAAUUUUGUGGGAUUUUUAAAAAAAUACUUGCUAUGUUUUUUUAUUUGGCCAGCCAGUCCUUUUGAAGUAUAACUCUCUUGUAAUUUUUGCAGGUUUGCUUGCAAACUUAAUUCUUACAUUUUCCUUUUUCAAUACUUAAUGUUUUUGUGUAUUUCUUUGAUAAUUUGUAAAUUUUUGUGUUUCAAGAUUAUAUCUUUGAAUCAAGUAAUUUUUUAAAAACCUGAUCAUCAGUGAUACCACAAAACACUACAAAGAAAUCCCCAAAUAAAUGUUGUUGCUUAGAUUUUUCUACUUUCAAAAGAAAUUACCAAAAG
rnacentral:lncRNA from 1 species